AGCCAGCGUCAUGUAGUGGUUGAGUGUUGGACUACAGCUCUGGAGACCUGGGUUCAAUUCCCAGCUUGGCUA
rnacentral:tRNA from 1 species